rnacentral:rRNA from 1 species
AGUCGAGCGAGCCCCCUUCUUCGGUUGGGUGUGCUAGCGGCGAACGGGUGAGUAACACGUGGGCAACCUGCCCUCAGCUCUGGGAUAACUCCAAGAAAUUGGGGCUAAUACCGGAUAUGACCGCUGACCGCAUGGUCUGGUGGUGGAAAGAUUUAUCGGCUGGGGAUGGGCCCGCGGCCUAUCAGCUUGUUGGUGGGGUAGUGGCCUACCAAGGCGACGACGGGUAGCCGGCCUGAGAGGGUGACCGGCCACACUGGGACUGAGACACGGCCCAGACUCCUACGGGAGGCAGCAGUGGGGAAUAUUGCGCAAUGGGCGAAAGCCUGACGCAGCGACGCCGCGUGGGGGAUGACGGCCUUCGGGUUGUAAACCUCUUUCAGCAGGGACGAAGCGAGAGUGACGGUACCUGCAGAAGAAGCACCGGCCAACUACGUGCCAGCAGCCGCGGUAAUACGUAGGGUGCAAGCGUUGUCCGGAAUUAUUGGGCGUAAAGAGCUCGUAGGCGGUUUGU